rnacentral:rRNA from 1 species
ACGGAGGGUGCAAGCGUUAUCCGGAUUUAUUGGGUUUAAAGGGUGCGCAGGCGGAAUGAUAAGUCAGUGGUGAAAUCCUACAGCUCAACUGUAGAACUGCCAUUGAUACUGCCAUUCUUGAGUACAGUUGAAGUAGGCGGAAUGUAUCAUGUAGCGGUGAAAUGCAUAGAUAUGAUACAGAACUCCUAUAGCGAAGGCAGCUUACUAAACUGUAACUGACGCUCAGGCACGAAAGCGUGGGGAGCAAACAGG